UGCUCAUCAUCGCUCCUUGGCUAAGAUCAAGUGUAGUAUCUGUUCUUAUCAAUUUAAUAUCUGACCGCAAUUUCCCUUCGGGAUCAAUAAAGUUGUUUCUUUCUGUCUUUUUUUCUUUCACACAAUUCAACAAUAAAUGGCCUUAAACACUGGAGUUAAUGCAUUACUGCCCCUUUACUGACCUUAA